GUAAGGUGUUAUAAAAUAAGUUUGCCUGUUCGUUUAUAACGCUUUUAAUGCAGUUUUUACCAGACAGUGCGUCAAGUGAACACUAAGGUCAUCGUUGCGUUCUCACGCACGUUGGGGCUCUCGGCGGCUGGAUAUGGCCACUACGGUCACGGAGGACACGGAGGCGAUGAAGUUGUUGCGUACAAGACAAUCCAUGGUGGUUAUGGGCACGACCAUGGUCACGACUACAAGAUCCAUGCGAUCAAGGGCCCUACGUUCGUCGUGAAGACUGUUCACCAUAUCAAAAAAAUUCAUCCUGGAGGCGGCUACCUGGGUCACUACAGCUACGGUAAACAUGGCCAUGGACAUGGCGGAGGGCACGGAGGAUACGGCAAAGUUCUCAUCAUCAAGAGCGGACACGGCCUUGAUCAUGGCCACGGACAUGGUUACAGCCACAGACUUGGCGGGGGCCAUGGCGGCUACGACAGCUGGUGGUGACGCCCAUACCACUUUGUCAAAGCGCCUCUCGUAUACCAAAGAUGCCUUUUAGCAAGCUGCGCUAGAAAUGGGGAUGCUGUCAUUAUGCUGCUGAAGUUUCUGUACUUAAAGAUGAAUUAGUGUGGAAAUAUUGAGGCCUGCUUGAAAUGUUGGCGUGCCACUAAUGUUCCUUCCCAGUGCUGAGCGGGAGCUCGGCUCUUGUGCUUGUACAUAUUAUGUAAAUAAAAGUUCAAGUAUAUGCGA